rnacentral:rRNA from 1 species
AGAGUUUGAUCAUGGCUCAGAUUGAACGCUGGCGGCAUGCCUUACACAUGCAAGUCGAACGGCAGCACGGGGGCAACCCUGGUGGCGAGUGGCGAACGGGUGAGUAAUACAUCGGAACGUGUCCUGUCGUGGGGGAUAACCAGUCGAAAGACUGGCUAAUACCGCAUGAGAUCGAGAGAUGAAAGCAGGGGACCGCAAGGCCUUGCGCGAUUGGAGCGGCCGAUGUCGGAUUAGCUUGUUGGCGGGGUAAAAGCCCACCAAGGCGACGAUCCGUAGCUGGUUUGAGAGAACGACCAGCCACACUGGGACUGAGACACGGCCCAGACUCCUACGGGAGGCAGCAGUGGGGAAUUUUGGACAAUGGGGGCAACCCUGAUCCAGCCAUGCCGCGUGUGUGAAGAAGGCCUUCGGGUUGUAAAGCACUUUCGGACGGAACGAAAUCGCACGGGUGAAUAUCCCGUGUGGAUGACGGUACUGUAAGAAGAAGCACCGGCUAACUACGUGCCAGCAGCCGCGGUAAUACGUAGGGUGCGAGCGUUAAUCGGAAUUACUGGGCGUAAAGCGUGCGCAGGCGGCUUCGCAAGUCAGGCGUGAAAUCCCCGGGCUUAACCUGGGAAUGGCGUCUGAAACUACGGAGCUGGAGUGUGGCAGAGGGAGGUAGAAUUCCACGUAGCGGUGAAAUGCGUAGAUAUGUGGAGGAAUACCGAUGGCGAAGGCAGCCUCCUGGGCCAACACUGACGCUCAUGCACGAAAGCGUGGGGAGCAAACAGGAUUAGAUACCCUAGUAGUCC